rnacentral:lncRNA from 1 species
CAACAAAUGCAUUAGCAAAUGAAAAGGUGUCUGAAGAAGGAUUUGGGUACACUAUGAGAUAAAUUACUCUGUCAUAGAUAGGUCAGGCCUAUGCACAUAGCCUGCCUGGCCUGUCACAUUCUCCUGGCCUGCUUCCUUGAAAGGUCACAGAAUUUAAAAGGGGAAAACUGGGGACUGGAUUGGUUAUUCUGCCAGGCUCAUAGCCUAUGUGCCUGUGGAAUAUUCUCUCUCCUUUCCCCCACCUUCUGUAGCAACUGCCACUGUCACAAAAACAAUACUUAUGCCACUGAAAUGUGCAUAGGAGGAGAUCCUGAUAAAUGGCAUAUGGAAUCCUGGUCACAGGGUGGCCAUUGAUGUGGAAGGCACCCAAAGAGAUGGGAAGUUGCAUUACUUACGUGAAGAGCCAGAUGGGUCCAGUAGCUAGAGUUAUAAAAGAAGCUCUCCUAUGCCUUUGGUCUGAAGUUCAAUAUUGUUACAUCCCUAAUAGCAGCUGCUUCUGUUUGAACCCUGGGCUAUGAAAAAUGAACUGCAUUAAAUGGGAAAUCAUUAACUAUCAGCUGAGUAAUAGUACUGUGCUGUGUUGGCCUGCCUAAAUCACCAGUGUCUGCCUCCUCAUGUGCAAAGAGUUG